rnacentral:rRNA from 1 species
UACGUAGGGCGCAAGCGUUGUCCGGAAUUAUUGGGCGUAAAGAGCUCGUAGGCGGCUCGUCGCGUCGACCGUGAAAACCCGCAGCUUAACUGCGGGCUUGCGGUUGAUACGGGCGGGCUAGAGUUCGGUAGGGGAGACUGGAAUUCCUGGUGUAGCGGUGAAAUGCGCAGAUAUCAGGAGGAACACCGGUGGCGAAGGCGGGUCUCUGGGCCGAUACUGACGCUGAGGAGCGAAAGCGUGGGGAGCGAACAGG